rnacentral:rRNA from 1 species
GUACAGUAGAGGUGGGCGGAAUUCGUGGUGUAGCGGUGAAAUGCUUAGAUAUCACGAAGAACUCCGAUUGCGAAGGCAGCUCACUGGACUGCAACUGACACUGAUGCUCGAAAGUGUGGGUAUCAAACAGGAUUAGAUACCCUGGUAGUCCACACAGUAAACGAUGAAUACUCGCUGUUUGCGAUAUACAGUAAGCGGCCAAGCGAAAGCAUUAAGUAUUCCACCUGGGGAGUACGCCGGCAACGGUGAAACUCAAAGGAAUUGACGGGGGCCCGCACAAGCGGAGGAACAUGUGGUUUAAUUCGAUGAUACGCGAGGAACCUUACCCGGGCUUAAAUUGCAGUGGAAUGAUGUGGAAACAUGUCAGUGAGCAAUCACCGCUGUGAAGGUGCUGCAUGGUUGUCGUCAGCUAGUGCCGUGAGGUGUCGGCUUAAGUGCCAUAACGAGCGCAACCCUUAUCUUCAGUUACUAACAGGUCAUGCUGAGGACUCUGGAGAGACUGCCGUCGUAAGAUGUGAGGAAGGUGGGGAUGACGUCAAAUCAGCACGGCCCUUACGUCCGGGGCUACACACGUGUUACAAUGGGGGGUACAGAAGGCAGCUAGCGGGUGACCGUAUGCUAAUCCCAAAAUCCUCUCUCAGUUCGGAUCGAAGUCUGCAACCCGACUUCGUGAAGCUGGAUUCGCUAGUAAUCGCGCAUCAGCCACGGCGCGGUGAAUACGUUCCCGGGCCUUGUACACACCGCCCGUCAAGCCAUGGGAGCCGGGGGUACCUGAAGUACGUAACCGCAAGGAUCGUCCUAGGGUAAAACUGGUGACUGGGGCUAAGUCGUAACAAGGUAACCA